CCUACUAAGGUGUGUCUUUGGUUUCCUGUUUUGGGACACAAAAGAACUGCAAAAAAAGAAGUGUGGAUUUGGAAAGGGCUGGGGCCAGCUUGCUCUCAGGUUCAGCAUCAAUCAUUCUACAAAG
ensembl:snoRNA